GAUGAACGCUGGCGGCGUGCCUAAUACAUGCAAGUCGAGCGAACGGACGAGAAGCUUGCUUCUCUGAUGUUAGCGGCGGACGGGUGAGUAACACGUGGAUAACCUACCUAUAAGACUGGGAUAACUUCGGGAAACCGGAGCUAAUACCGGAUGAUAUUUUGAACCGCAUGGUUCAAAAGUGAAAGACGGUCUUGCUGUCACUUAUAGAUGGAUCCGCGCUGCAUUAGCUAGUUGGUAAGGUAACGGCUUACCAAGGCAACGAUGCAUAGCCGACCUGAGAGGGUGAUAGGCCACACUGGAACUGAGACGCGGUCCAGACUACUACGGGAGGCAGCAGUAGGGAAUCUUCCGCAAUGGGCGAAAGCCUGACGGAGCAACGCCGCGUGAGUGAUGAAGGUCUUCGGAUCGUAAAACUCUGUUAUUAGGGAAGAACAUAUGUGUAAGUAACUGUGCACAUAUUGACGGUACCUAAUCAGAAAGCCACGGCUAACUACGUG
rnacentral:rRNA from 1 species